rnacentral:lncRNA from 1 species
CUAAUAUUACCCUGAUACUAAAACCAGAAAAAGACAGUGAAAAAAAAAAAAAAGAAAGAAAAGGAAGCAUUGAUGCGGCUGUCCAGCCUGUUGGAUCAGCUGCAACCCACCCUGGCUCAAACCCCUCCCAGCAUGUGCGCCUCCCACACGUCUAUGCCAUCCUGGAUCAGGAAGUUGGGAAGAAGGAUAGGAAUGAUGAAUUAUUCAUCUCGCUGUGCUUAGUAAGUGUCACUCAUUCAUUCACAGGUAUGGACUGAGGGGUCUCCCUGGGCUGGGCCGAGCAGGAGGAGGCUGAGCAGUGAAAACGGUGACCCCUGCCCUCACGGAGCUAACGAGAAGAGCAAAUGGCUGGCAACGGUGCAUGACACAGAAUGAGCAACGGGCUGCACACAUCGCGAUUUACGUGGCUUUGGAAAAAACGCGUCUCACAAGUUGGGGCUGUCAUACAUUGGCUUCUUGGUAAUCAAUGCGUUUCAGCAAUAUAUGGGGGUGAGUUUAGUUUCCAGUUGGCUUCCCUGAGGGUGUUGGAUAAAAUUGCAAUUUAGAUUCAAUCAAUACACAUUUAGUGAGCACCUAUUCUUUGCCUGAACGAUUGUGGGCAUUGUGGGGGAUACAAAGGGAGACAUCGUGGGUGGAGCUUACCAUGGAAACAACUGUCUCUUGCUCCAUGGUGUUUACCUUGCCUUGGAAAAUAAACAACGUAAACAUUUUUUUGUGACAACGGAGACAGGAUUGAGAGACUUGCACAGACUUCCUUUCCCAAAACUUCUGCAGACUAAAAUUCUACCAUUAGCUAUUAAUUUCUUUGACUAAAUUUUGUCCUCACUCUGCAGUUUCUUUUUUCUAAAGUAAAAAUACUUCUAGAAAGAGAACACGACGUCCUUAACCUCUUAAAACAGAAAUGACAUAUAAAUCGACUUGCACACCAAUUUGGGCCCUUGGAUAUUUGUUGCCUGAAGAGCUGUGUUGAAAAGGCCUCUGAGGCUCAAUCUGGCCUCUGAUGCAAAGAAUGUCGAUCGAUUGCUGAUGUCUGCCCUGAGUGCUGGAAGGGAGGAUGGCAUUUACUAUCCCUGCCUUAAAUUAGAGGAGCUUAUGGGGUUCUUCCCCAACUAUAACAAGAGGGGUUAAAUGAACACUAAUCAUCUGAUAGGACAGCCACUGAAGGAGGUGAGGGGAAUUUAAGAAGGAAAGGCUGUGACUGCCAAUCUCCUAAUGUCACCUGCAUGGCCGUCAGUCACCUGCAGCCCUUGUCAGUGCACCCAAAGCCUUUGCAGAUGUCAACCCAGCUGGCUUUCCAGCCAUGUCUCACCAUACCCCAGUGCUCCUCUGCUCCAGCCCCACUGAACUCUGCCAGACCUGGACGUGCCCUUAUACAUGUGCUUCCUAGACAUCCCAGAACAUCUGUGCCCAUUGUCUCUGCACAGGGAAUUCUUAUGUAACUCCAUGAACACCUACCCUAAGUGUCACUUCCUGUGAGAAGUCCUCCCUGAUUCACUCCCUCCUCUGUUUACCCACCCACUGGAGACCCAGCUCUGCAUGGCAGUCUUCACACUCUAUCAUCUUUGUCCUUCCUUCUUUUUUUUUUGAGUCAAGCUUUCACUCUGUCGCUCAGGCUGGAGUGUAGAUCACAGCUCGCUGCAGCCUCCAACUCAGCUAAAGCGA